rnacentral:tRNA from 1 species
GGCGCUGUGACUUAGCGGUUAAAGCGCCUGUCUAGUAAACAGGAGAUCCUCGGUUCAAAUCCGGGCAGUGCCU